GCGCCAUAUUGUACCUGCGUUCUGUGACCCGCGCCUUCUCUGCAUGAAAACAAUUGCUGUAUUCAAGCGAGCUAAUCUGCAGCGCCACCAUGAGCAACUUCAUCCCGACUUCACCGUCGCCUAUCGGAUACGGAUUAUAUCCACACGGCAGCGAUCUCAGGUGUCAAAAGGUGUGAUUGUGCUUCAAGUUCAGGACCUCAAGAAGGAUGUGGCUUUUUGCAACUACCAUGUUUUUUCAUUUUUCAGAACCGCUUGUCCCAUAGCUCCUGAGAUCAUUCAGGCACUCAAACCCCUCCACCACGUUAAGGUGGCGGUUCGAGGAGGGGCAUAUUGACAGCCUAUCUCAAUACUUCCUUUCGCCUGCUAAUUCAUUAUGAACUACCAUGUUGUUUGGUCUAAUUUAUGCUCUCAACCUGAAGUUCCCCACAAAGUUGUGCUACACUUUUGAGGUUCCAAGUUGUAUAGAAGAGUCUGAGAAGACAAAGUUAUUUUAUUAAGUAAAAUUAUUAGUGCUGUUAUGUUCUGUUUGUUUACAGAGACAUGCAGUUUAAUGUUUAUGCAGAAAUGUGAGGUGUAACUUGUGUUGCUUAUUGUCUUGUUAACAAAAUGUUUCUUAUGAUGUUUGUGGCCUUCAUGGUGGAAUAGUUAAUAUGUCAAGCUGUAAAAUGGUUGCGUAUGUCUACAUCAGCACAUUUUUCCCGUAUUUCCAGAUACAAGUUGCUUUUAAGUCAAACUUGCCAAUUGACCUGUUAAAGAGAUGUAAUUUAAACUAAGUUUUAAUAGACAUGAUCCUUAAGAGCUAAUCUCUGUAUUUCACAUUGCAGUGCAUUUAAGAGUAUUGUUCAUAUUGCUAUUAAAGGACUGAUGGAUCACUUAAUGAAAUAAAGCCUUUGAAUGUAAAUCUAUUUGUGUUAUU
rnacentral:lncRNA from 1 species